ensembl:miRNA bta-mir-2489 bta-mir-2489
UGUUGUGUUUCAAAUGACAGGGGACAUGAGUUUUUUAAUCUGGCAGUUUAAACUUUUGCCCUCCUUCAUUACAUAACG